rnacentral:rRNA from 1 species
UACGUAGGGUCCGAGCGUUGUCCGGAAUUACUGGGCGUAAAGAGCUCGUAGGUGGUUUGUCGCGUUGUUCGUGAAAACUCACAGCUCAACUGUGGGCGUGCGGGCGAUACGGGCAGACUAGAGUACUGCAGGGGAGACUGGAAUUCCUGGUGUAGCGGUGGAAUGCGCAGAUAUCAGGAGGAACACCGGUGGCGAAGGCGGUGAUCUGGGCCGACACUGACGCUGUAGAGCGAAAGCGUGGGGAGCGAACAGG